AGUGAACGCUGGCGGUAGGCCUAACACAUGCAAGUCGAACGGCAGCACAGUAAGAGCUUGCUCUUACGGGUGGCGAGUGGCGGACGGGUGAGGAAUACAUCGGAAUCUACUUUUCGUGGGGGAUAACGUAGGGAAACUUACGCUAAUACCGCAUACGACCUACGGGUGAAAGCAGGGGAUCUUCGGACCUUGCGCGAUUGAAUGAGCCGAUGUCGGAUUAGCUAGUUGGCGGGGUAAAGGCCCACCAAGGCGACGAUCCGUAGCUGGUCUGAGAGGAUGAUCAGCCACACUGGAACUGAGACACGGUCCAGACUCCUACGGGAGGCAGCAGUGGGGAAUAUUGGACAAUGGGCGCAAGCCUGAUCCAGCCAUACCGCGUGGGUGAAGAAGGCCUUCGGGCUGUAAAGCCCUUUUGUUGGGAAAGAAAAGCAGCAGGUUAAUACCCCGCUGUUCUGACGGUACCCAAAGAAUAAGCACCGGCUAACUUCGUG
rnacentral:rRNA from 1 species